rnacentral:tRNA from 1 species
AUUCAUGUAGUUUAUUUAAAACAUUUCAUUUUCAAUGAAAAAAAGAAUAUUCUUCCAUGAAUU